UAAUUCUUUAUACUUCCAAAUACAAGAGAAUUUUUUUUCCGGUUGAUCUGCAUAAUUCUACGUAAUUGUUGAUAUCGGUGCAGAUGUUAAUCUACAAGAGAAAAAAAAGUUACUAUUAUUACAGUUAUUAUAAUUACCAUGCUGCAAAGCCUAAAUGCUGAAAGCUAUUAUAUUAUUAUCCUCAAGAAUCGAUCUUCCAAAAUGCUUCAUGAAUACAUAAUAUAUUAACAACUGAUGGAAUGUAUAAACUUCUAAUGGCAAUAUACAAUACCAAAGUUGGAAAAGGUCAAAGGGCUUUGAACCGGCGAAUUAGCAAGAGAAAAUCGUUGGAAGCGUUUAAUCUCCCAGCCAACUCGUUAAUUUAAGAAAUAAAAAGGAGUUUUCUUUCCCGUAUCUUGAUGAAUUUCUUGCGUAACAAAAAAAUUCUACGGUUCGUGAAACUCAGAAAUGAAUG